UAGUCUGCUGGAACUCUCACAAGAUCUUGGCAUGAGAACUCAUUUCAGGCUGCAAUCUCAUGAGAUUUGUCAGGACUGUUGUGGGUUAUUUAAAGCUGGACUGGCCAAUGGUGAGGGGGCAGUUAUUGAGGAGAAGCUAUGCUGACUUGCUUGGAAUACUGUGUCCUGUUCUGAGGCCUGCAAUUCAAGAAGGACAUUGAUCAACUGGAACAGGUUCAGAGGAAGGUGACCAAGAUGAGAAGAAAGUGUUUCCUGUUCUGCUGCAGUAAUGAGUGAAGUUGAUAUUUGGGGUGCCAAGAUCAAGGAGUCCUCUCAUGAAUUCUGGCGCUCGCAGAUUUCAAACUUCAGAGCUUCAGACGAAGGAAGAAACAGCCACGGAAGAAUAGCCAUGACUUUCAAAGGAGAACAACACGUUGCUGGCUGGGGACUCAUUCAUGCAACUUCCAUUGAUAUAUCAACAUAUUAGUUUGGGGACCUCAACUUUCAAAGCAAAUAUCACCCUGUCACAAAUAAGGAGCCCUCAAGUCAAGCCAGGCGGUCUGUUUUGCAAAAGUUUUCCAUCUAACUCUCUGGAAGUGCCAUGUCAGUUGGGUUCACGCUUGACACAGAAGCACGUCUUGGAGUCUCUAUGAUGUUUGACAGUGAGUGAUUCUGACCGAAGAAGACAAAUCCCAGACAUUGGUAGCAAAACUUGGAGAGGUAUCAGGUCCCUGAAAGACCACUGUUGGGCUGCAUUCAGCAUGGAGCGGCAUGGCAAGUUGCAUAACUUUGAAUUACACUACUCAAUAGGCUUAACACUGAUUGUGAGCUGAACACAUUUGGGUAGAACAGGAUCCAUGGACAUUAUUUAGCUGGAACCAGGACACCCCUUGGGACAAAUGUUGAAACAAAAUGCAAAAGAUAACUGGACAGGAUACAACAGAUUCCUCCAAGCUGAUAUGAGAGACUGAUCACCAGUUAUCAGAAACAUUUAAUUGCAGGUAUUGCUGCCCAGGAAAGUGCAACCAGUUACCGAGUGCAGGGUUCACAUACUUUUUCAUGCAAGGAUGUUUGUUGUUGAAGCCUUCUGUUGGGUGAAUAUUUAAAAUAUAUCCUUUUUGCCUGUGUUACUUAUUCAGUGUGGUUGCCUUUCUCUCUUAUCAGGGUUUAGCUUAGUUAUGUUUUGAGUAAGAAUUGUGCUAACAUACAGACCAUCCUAGGGGGUUGACAAUAGGGGUGUGCGAGCCGACUCAAAUUGAGCCGGGCUCAAAUUCAAUCCGACUCGGUUCGUAGGUUCAAAGAGACAGCUUGUGAGCCACCUCAAGGGGCUCGAGGGAUUCCUGUCAAUCCAGCAGGAGCCAGGCCAAAAGUGAUCAGGUUUGAGGGCCUUGUGGGAGGCCAGCUAACUGUCUAAUGGGGCUAGAGGCAAGAAGUAUAAGAGCAAGCAAAAGUCAAGCUCAAUAAAAGGCAAUCAACAAUCAGAAAGUUGAAGCAGGUAAUAUAAAACAGGCAGGAGUUCAAAUUCCAAAGAAAGCAGAAACUAGACAGGGUCCUCUCCAGAGAGAUGAGAUACUCAAACCAAAUGUUUCUCAUUGAGAUGGGGGUUUUAUAAGGCUUGAUGGAGAUAGAUUGGUCCUUGAAGUCAGCAGACCAAAUGCUAAGUCAGUUUGUAAACUCAUCAGGUAUAGUUUCCUCUCACCUGAUGUUUUACAUUUGCAUUCUCCAUUUGCAUUCUCCAGACAAGCUAGGACCUUGAAGGAGGAAAACCCAUAAUAAGUAAUGAGGAAUGGGAAGGAGCAAAUUACUGUUGCUAGAGAAGCAUGUAUACUAUCGAAACCCAUUGCUUUGGUCAAGGAACAUUAGCCAAUGUUGAAUAUGUAAGGAUUGUGAAAAGUAAUAGCGGCUCAGCCAUCUUCUUGUUCAAAAAUAUUCCAAGGGUGCUAACAAUUAUAUUACUCGUCUACAAUGAGAAGUGAUCAUGUGAGUAAAAACAUUGUCAAAAUAUUUGUGGUCUAAUUUUGGAUGUGAUUUAGAAGGAAGAUGUGAAUAACACUAAACAGAUAUCAAAACUAGAAAUUCCAGUUACAGAAAAGAAUUGGAAGCUGUAUGAAACACACACACACAUUCUUAUCAGUGAAACAGAGAGAGAGGGACAUAGAAUCCUGUAUGGAUGGUCUUUGACCUUACAAAGAUUUCAUAGGAUCUAUCAAUGUGACUUGAUUAGUUCUUGCAAAACUCUGAUGUCGUUUCCAAUGUCUGUGGUGAGAAUACCUUCAGUUAGAAAGUUUUGGCAAAAAGUAUUAUAUAUCAUUUUUGUAAUGACUAGGAUUAAGCUGAGAUUGGUUCCUUUUAUGAUACUGUUGAAUGUUUAAAAAGGUACUGAUGUGUGGGAUCAGAAGACUGCCUGAAAAUCUGUUAUUGGCUGCUGAGGUGGUAGCUGCAGAGCAUUGGCAAUAUAAUGGGCCACUGCACGCUAUGGGAUAGCUUAGGAAAGCAUUUUCAGUAGCUGAAAUGGACACAUUAACGCGACUGAAAUUGUUUUGGAAUCGAAACAGAAAAUGUGAUGAACUGUUGCAGAGAUGGGUCUCUUUUGUUGAAUAUUACUGAACAAUUAUUGAAGGUGUUCUCAGAGAAACAUCACUUUUUCCCCAGUUCAGUAAUGUAUUUA